UGGGUAUGAAUGUUGUUUUGGCGGCGUGUACGCUGUCCGGUGUUGAUAGACAUCUUAAAAAUUCCAAAAAACUACAUUUUUUCAUUAAAUCAUGCGUGAGGGGAUCGGUUCUGAUUGAGGACAUCGUGAAUGCGUGAGGGGAAGUACAGACAUUUUUUUAAUCUUUGACUUUGUGACUUUUGUUGACUCACUAAAUGUGAUCAAUGCUGAUUAAAAGCACAGAUGUAUCAUUAUACGUUAAUAGAUGUAAACUGAUCAAUGAUUCAAGGAAAUCAAACUAUUAAUUGUUUGUUCAAUUUCAGAAAAUGCCAUUGUUCAAAGGAGGACUGAAAUUGACUCUCUACAAAAAGCCAUGAAGAUACAAGUUAUCCCCGCCCUCGAAGCGAACUAAACCAUCUGGGAGUAGUCCUGUCGUCAAAUAUACGUCACAGAGAUCACCACAUAUAUUUAAGAAAAGUAUAUCGCCGAUCAAAACUUCAACACCUUAUAUAUUAGACGUAAUCUGUUCACCAAAAAUCACGAAAUUUUCGAAACAAAAAAGGCAGAUAUUUAGAAUUUAUUAUUCACGAACAUCGACGAAAGCCAAGAUAAUCUCGAGGAAUACCAUAAGGAAGAGCAUGUAUUAGACAACGAAGAAGUCAUAGAAGAAGACCAC
rnacentral:lncRNA from 1 species